GCCGCCGUAGCUCAGUCUGGUAGAGCGCCGGCCUCGUAAGGUUCCUAAGAAGGAUCCAAGAAAGCCGGUGGUCCGGGGUUCAAGUCCCCGCGGCGGCU
rnacentral:tRNA from 2 species